AGCUUCUCCUGUGGCACCAUGAAGCCCUUGAUAGCUCUGACUAGCUUCACCUGGCACCUCCUCUGCCCAUGAGCCUGGCCUGGGCAGUACUAUGGGCAUGCCACUGCCCCCGUCUCCUGAUGUAGGUGUUGAUUUCAGCUUUGGGGACACUGUGUGGUCACAGAUGUGUGGUCCCCAUGGAUGCCUGCCUGCUCAGCCAGGGGCAUCAUUGCGUUGGGCAAGCUGUGGCCUGGGCAGCGACAGUGGUGUCAGAGGACCCAUGGUGGAGCUUUGGAGCUGGAUCUGCCCAGACUCUAGCCUUGCAGAAGAAUAAAAAAAAAAUGAAGCAGGUUGUUACCUUCAGAUGAAAUGUAGGCUUCAGUGAGAUAAUGAUCUGAACUGCUGGGUGUCAGCCAGCAAGGCUGUUGCUGUGCUCUGUAUUAAUACUUCAGUAGAAGUCAUUCCAGUUACCUGCUGUUUAUUGGUGCUGUCAGGGCCUCAGGACCAACCACUUGAGGACUGGAUGUUUUGCGGGAAUUCGGAUGGUUUUAACACACUUGUUUUACGGUAGAACAAACCCAAAUCUGUUAUAUGGUUUUACAAAACGGAACUGCAUUGAAAUAUCCAGUAGAGGAGAUUGUAUGAUGGUUGUGUGACGUGAGAGCUUUUGACUUUGGAAACGUCUGACAGGAAACUUGCUGAAAUAGGCUUCUUCAUGAAAUGCUUGGAUGUGAGACGCUGUCCAGAAUAAAUGGCACUUUGUCACCA
rnacentral:lncRNA from 1 species